ensembl:lncRNA
CAGUGUUUAACACUUUCAGGGUAAAAGCAGAAAGGUAGUUUCAGUGGAAGGAAAUAAUGGCAGGACUAAAGGAUAAAAUGGUUGACUGUGUUGAGAGUGGCCUCUAAGUUCUCUGAUGCUAAUACUGUCUGUCAAGACUCUCAUGGUUACUUUUUAUUUCUUUCCACUACCUUUUUGUGCUGUUGACACCUACUGACAGAUACUGGAGCAAAGUGUGGUGCUUUGAAAAUUCAUUUAUUUUAAGAGAGAAAAUACAUCCAGGAACGUAGAUUGAUUCAAAAGUAAUACUUGCUGUUUAUUUCCAUAGAAACUGCAACAAAUACAAAGAGCACAAUAACACUAUUUCAUAGAGAAAAUUCUCAAAUACAAACUUUAUUUUGCUGCAUAUUCACUGUCAUUAGCUAUGCAUUUUUGCCAACGAUGAACGAGAACCUGCUUGCUGUUCUUGUAAAAAUUUGCACCGGUGGAGGUGAACCACUGCCACUAUCACUGCUGUUGAAACACAUUACCCACAACCUCACUGAGCUCACAUCCACUGUUUGAUCUCCAUAAAUGUUCAGCAAGCAUCAGUGAAAGUCAAUGGAUGCAAUUUUUUUACCACAUGGAGGAAUUCAGUUCCACAUCUUUUCUUCUCAGAUGCUUCCGUGUCAGAAGCCAUUUUGUCAGACUGACCCUCUGCUGCCAUCUGUCACACAGCAACAAAAUGUAGUGGAAUACUGGUGUGAAGGUUCAACCUCUCCUGAUGUACCACCAAAAUCCACCUCUGACAUUGCACACCAACAUAAUAAAACAGGAGGCAUUACUUUCAGAGCAGCACUUGUACAAAGUUAGCAAAGAAACCAAAUAUAAGCCUUGCAGUACAUAGGGAUAUAACUUUUGGCCAGACUGAGUAUUUUGAAAUAAGCAGUUUUUAAAAAGUAAUAUAUUGUGGCUUUUGCACUUCCGUUAUAUUAAACUGACUUUCUUUACUCACAGUGGGAUUUCAAAUUAAUUCGUAAUUAUACACACAGUGAAGGGAUGAGAAAGAAAUGACCUAAUUACAGACCAAAAAGAUGCCCUACAGCUAUCAUCCAAUUACUCCAGCCAUCAGAGCUCUUAAGCAAAAUGAUGGGUUUAAUCCUCUCUUGGUCACAUGUAGUUGUAAUUUGCCAUUGAAUACUAUAAUUUCACUUUAAAAUAUUCAUUCAUAUAAUAUAAAAAUCUUAGAAUGGAUACAGAUAAUGAGAAUGGGUCAUGAUCACAAAUACCUUCAAGAUUUUGUUCUCGGACAUGGAUUUUCUGGGCAUUGGGUGAAGAAGGAAAUCAUGAGUUCUCUGCUAUGUUUCUAAACAGUACUUAUUAGCUAUAAUUAGGCACAUAGGAGGUUUUUAAAAUAAUGGAAAACCCCAGAAUGCCCAAUAACUGAUGCAAUAUAUUUCCCAAUUUCAACUUUACCUUUUAGAAAGGGAUGAAGAGUUCAUAAAGAGGUACUUGAUAACCUCAGUAAAUGUAAGUAAAAAAGCAGAUUUCUAAUGGGACAUAUCUUCACCUCUGCUCUUUGUGCACUAUUCUCAUUUAUAUUCAUAAUGUUUUCAGUAAAAUAUAACAACAGAAUGGAACCAAUAACUAUGAUAUAAAAAGGGGCAUGGUAUAUAAGAGAUCAGUUUAGAACUAUUUGUUUUUUUCAGUUAAUUGACUACUGAAUAAACUAUUUCGAUAGUAACCCCCAAAAUAUUUUUUUCCCUCAGGUUUCUGCAAGCUAAAAAGAAAAAAAAGAACAACCCCCAAACAAAACUGUAAACGAAAUGAAGGAAGUGGAGGCAGCUUCAAGCUUCAGCUUACUGCAGUACCCUCGGAUUUGAUCAGCUUAAUAUGUGACUCUGAGGAUAUGCUGAGUGAAAAGGUAUGGCAACCCCUUUUGUCCUGAAAAAGUAUUUUAUAAAUGACAAAAUGGUUAUCUGAUAUCUGCUUCAGUUUUCAACUUUGUUUUGUUUCAUAUAUUUUUUUGUCAGAAAUACUUCAUCUUAAUUUUUUUGCCCCGCUUUAUACAUGUGCCAGCUGUUGCUGUAGGUUUUGAUCAUGUAUUCUUUACAGAACAACUGAUUUGCUAAUAAGUGGAAAACAGAAUUUGUUAACUUGUCUUCAGAUAGCUGUGCAGGUAGAGGUGCUUAUUUAUUUAUUUACUGGGAGUGAUUUUUAAAGAUCACACUGACUGCCUUAACAUUGCUUCUUCUGAGUAAUGCACUCAUGGAGAAUCACUGUUUUUACUUAUCAUUGUAUUUCACAGACUGGAAAUACACACUUCUGGUAUCUGAGUGGAUGUGGGACAUAGAGUGUUGCUUGAGUAUUUAUUUACUUUGCAUGUAUUGUGUUGGUAAGUUAUUUUGCUCAGUAUGUAGGAUUUAACCAGUGGCAGAUUAAAACUGACAUAUAGGCCAGUAGAUCCUAUGUAGAUGUAAUAUCACAGCAAUUGUUUUAAGUCAUUACUUGGUCCUUUUUUUUUUUUUUUUUUUUUUUUUUUUUUUUAUUAUUCUUUUGAUAAAAUUAUCUGGUUAAAAUUUUCGAAUCUUGAGUUAUUCCUCUGGUGGAAUGAUCGAUGGUGGAGUCAUCCCUCUGUGAACCAAACCUGUUUAUUAGAAAGUUCAUUGCCCCAUUUCUCUGAGUAGAAGUGAAAUCAAACAGCCCAAGCCAGUUUCUCACCUCCUAGAACACAGAUACUUUCCAGACAGCACAUUUGCUGUCUCUCCACAGAUGCAGGGAGAUGCAUCCACUUGGCAUGACUGUCCUGUUCCCAGAUGAGACAAGGACUAGGUUUUCAGGCAACAUGAAGAAGGCAAACAUCCAUGCGCCUCUCCUGGCCUGUCUUCAGCCAGAGCGCUCAGCUUUUUAGGGAAGAUAUGGAAGAAUAAAGAAGUACUGUUGUUACAGGAUGCACUCCAGCUGGAAUAAUGUAAGUUUUUAGGCAUGCAAGCUCUUCCUUAGCAACUUGUUCAUCCUAUAAACCUUACAGUCCAUUGUGGCUUCAACCACAUCCAUUUUACACAUAGUCUUAUGGCCAGAACAAUACUUAGUGAAAAGAAUUAAAAUUACUGCUGGCUCUGGCUUUGUUUUGGCUGAAAAUAUGUCUGUGUUUUGAAUUUUUUAGACUGAAGUUACUGAACUCCCUUGUAGAUGUAGUUAAAAAUGUGAUGGAUGGUUACCUUUAAUGUAGAAUAGGGGUUACUUGUAGGAAUUUAAGCUUGAAUUCAUCACUUUUUGUUCAGAGCUGAAACUCCUGGAUCUCAUUAGACGAAUCUCUGACUCUCACUGAAAUAGCCAUUGCUUCAUAAUUUGCUGAAUUUAGCUAUACUCUGUUGUUUUUGUAAUAUAUCACUCUUAACCAGUGUGCAUUUCUGUUUGGUCUUGAAGCAAAUUGCUUUCCUGCAUAGAAGGCAUUGCUAAAACUUGCCAGAAAGACAAGGUGUUUCUCUCAUUUAAACCCAGUUCUUGAGUUUUUAGAGGCAAGCUGUGAGAGGAGUUGCAUGGGGCCCUUCUUUGCACAGAUACCUCCUGCACACUUCCCGUUACUUUUUCUUUAAUUCCACUGAAACUUCUUUUUCACUGCAGUCCUAGAGUUGUCAGUCAUGUAAGUAGCCCAUGUGACUUCAAAGCAACAUUUUGAAAAGGAAAAGUUAUCUGAAUGGUGAAGUGAUGUAAAUUAGUCUUGUGAAGAGUGAUGCUGUUUUUUGUCCCUUUCUGUGAAUUCUGAAGUGCAUAUGCUUUAGCACUGAGAAAUUAUUUUAUGUGAUACAUGCUAAGAUUGUCAUCUGUACUAUGUCACAUACAGUGUGUGUUUACUUAGGUGUUUUAUCCUUCCUUUUGCUCCAGAAAAUAUGUACCUAUAUUUCUACAGCUCUGCGAGCUGACAUUUCUUUCUGAACAGCUAUGCGAAGAAUUUGUUUAAAUUUUCCAUCUUUUUUUACCUCAUCCCUUAAAAAAUGAUCCUCCACAAUCCCUAUUCUGUUCUUCAAUGACAGUUUAUUCUUAGGAUUGUUUAAAAAUUUUUUGUGCUAAUUUCAUAAUCUUCUGUGAAAUCUUUCACCGUUUUGCUCUCCUUAUCUGUUUUUCAGUCUUCUGCUUUAUUAAUUUUUUGUUUCCUUUCAUUGUUUAGGAGUCCUUUUUGAUUGUUUUUUCUGUAAUUUCCUUUUGCAUCACUGUUAACCAUUUACUAUUCUUGAACGUUUGGAAUUAGUUAUAAGGUAGUCCUCAGUGCACUUUUUACGUCACUUUACUUUCUAUUUUUAUUACAUUGCUAUGCUACAGCUUAGCUCCCACUGUAAACACUUAGAUGUAUCAAGGUGAUAAUCAAAGUCUACUUUUUUUUUUUCUAUCUCUUUCCAAUUCUAAGUAGAGAUUUUACAAUGAUAAAUAAAAAUUCUUUAAAAGCUUUGCUUUAUAUAUACGUAUGUAUAUAUAAAUUAGAUAGAGAGAUGUAUGUCUGUCCUUGUAGAAAAGUAAAGAAAAUGAAUUCCUAAGUCUGAGGGUCAGUUUCUUCUCCUUAUUAAAUCUCUACUAGAAUGCCACACUUGGGUAUUUUAAUGACUAUACAAAGAUUUUUCCACACUAUGUUUAUUUAUUCUCAUAAUCACUGAUCAGUGACGGUAAUCUCAAACCCUGAGCCUUUUUUCAUUUCAUUUUCUCCCCCUCUUCCUUUGAGUAGGAGUAACAGGAGAAUGAUGUAGUAGUUUAGCUGCACAUCAGGGUGAAAUCACCACAACUGGUAGUAGAGAUACUUCAAAUGCGGUCACAGACCCUCUUUUAAGAAGACAUCAACACUGAUAAAGGGUACAACUCCUGCUGUGAUGCAAGAAUGAAGAACAAACCUGCAAAUGAAAGAAAGCAGAAGAGACAUCAUAAAAUAAAAAUAUUUGAAAGUGGAGACUUGCACUAAAACAGCACAUAUGGUAAAAAAUUGUUCAGUUCUGAAAAUACGGGAGAAAGAAUACUGCAAAUCUAUUUUACAGGAACAGAUUAAAUAAAACAAUUGUAGUUAUUUUUGAUUUUCUGAUGGAAAAUGAUAAAAGAGAAUUUUUUUAGCAGGCUAAUUAUUAUUAUUAUUAUUUUUAAUCUGCUAAGCUUUGUUUUUAUAGGAACUGCAAUGCUUUUGUCAAACAAAAUCUUUCAGUGUGUUGUGACUAUCUGAGUGCUAUCAUUUUUACUUUCUUGUCUCUCCAUCUUUUUUUUUAUUCUAUGUAGGCUUAAAAUAGAAAUGGAAAGCAAGCAUAAACUAAUACUUCAAAAUGUUUCUUUUUUACAAACACUUAUUAUCUAUGGAAGACUUUUUAAAACAAUGAACACACUAUAUUCCAUUAGCAGUGUUUUACUUUAGUUGAACCGUCUGACUUGCUAUCACUUAUUACAUAAACAGCUUAACAGGUUAAAAAGGAAAAGAGAGAAAAACAGGCAACAUCUUAUCAAGAAGACAGCUGGUUGUCUCUGCCAUCAGAAUAAUGGACUAAUUUUUCAGUUCACUGAAAUAAUAUAGAAAGUACAAUACAGAUAACCAAAUGCCAGGUACACAGUGAGCUAUGUUGCACUACCGAUCAUUUUAUCACUUCUGGAAGUCAUAGUCUUACAUGGCUGAGGAGGAAAAGCUUUGUCUUUCAUGUAUGAAAAUAUUUUACCAGCAAAGUAAGUCCCACCAUCCUUUGCUGGGCAUACUCCCUGCUGUUCACAGGAAACAUUCACGCAUCUUUCAGUAGCUUACAGUGGUGUUUCAAAAGCUGUUCUGAGAAAGCAUUGUGUUGAUUCCCAGCUCAACAGAGGUGAUUCCAUAGCUUCUCAAGUCUUGUGGUGGUUCAACAACUUCUCCAGUCUCCCUGUGUUUCUAAGAGCACAGCUUUGUGGAGAAGCAGAUCUUCUGAACCACUAAUGCUGGUAUGAAGAAGCUCUACUAACUGUGGGUAAAGGAGAUUAGCUCAUUGCCACACAUCUGUAAAUGGUUUGCAGAUCACUUCCAAUUAUAAUUCUUGUGUUUCUUGGUUAGGAAAAAAAUAUGUUUGAAGAAGCUUCUAGGAAGUAAACGUUUCCCUGAGGAACAAUAUGAUAUCUCAAGGAAAACCUGCCUUAAGAUUAUUGGAGGGACUGAAUAAACACAGCAAGGCUGCAGUUAGACACAAAGCUGCAUCUUAGUCUGAAAAUCCUGGAGGUCUCCAGAUAAAUACACCACCUUAACAAUCCUGGUUUUGAAGAACUAUUGUAUGCUAUGGAAUAACAAGCCUGCUUUGGUUAUCCUGUGCUUUCAUGCAGUAUGGAAGAUAUCACAAAUCAUCUGUCCAGAUGCAGAAGUCUGUAUUUAUAAACUUCUGAUAAUGUCGGUUCACAUGAGCUCAGGUUCUGAAUGUCUUAAACUCUCUUCAUAUCUGGCAAAGUCAACGCUGUGAUUCAUCAUUCCACCCUGAUUUAGUAAUCUAAAACAGAUCAAUUAAGCUUCAGGCAGUGAGAAAUGUUUAGAAAGGACAGUAGAAUCUGAAAGACAGAUAAAGUAUAUCCCAUCCUGUAUUCUAGUGCAAUAAAGAUGUUUUGUUACACUAUGAAAAUCCAAUAUUAAUUGCAAAAGGAAAGGAGUGCUUAUAAUAUACAUUACCUUAACUGGAAUAUGUUUGCUUUAUGCUGAAACUUAUUACUAUUUUUAUUUCUAGCAAUUUUUUUUUUUUUUGGCACUUAAGUAAACUUAGAAUGAAGAAAUUUUAAAGCAAUGGUUCCGACAGCCAAAAUGAAAGCAGAAAUAAAAGGUUUUGGAGAGAAUAUAGAGAGGACUAGCAAGUAUGAUUAAGGGGGACAGAGAAACUUAUUUAUGAAGAAAGAUUAAAGGAGUAAAAUAUGUGUAUGUACAUUGGAGAUUAACUAAGUGGCUCAUAAGAAGCAUAACUAUCUUCAAGUAUUUGAUGCAUGUAAACACCAAGAAUGGAGAGGAAAUGAUUAUUUGGAUGCACUUAAAUGGGGAAAGAUUCUGACUUUAAAGUCUGAUACUGUUUUGCUUCAAUGUUGCCAGGAAAGAUCUAUAUGCUGAAAGAGGACGACACUGGAAAGGGAAAAAUUUAUACACUGGAAGAAGCAUGAAGCCAAAAGGAUUUCAGAAAUUAUUCAAAAAACACUAUAAAUUUUAAUACCAAAUAAGAGUUAUGUAAACUUUUGAACCAGCCUAUAAAACUCAAUAGAACAGUAUGACAGCACUAAACGGGUAAUGGAUUCAAUUUCUUGUUAAAGUUUUCUUUUCCCACAAGAAAAUAAAAUGCACCAUUUUGAAAGAUCCUGGAAGAUGAAGUGAUCAGCUGGUUGACCUAAGAUGACAAACUAGUUCCUUUCCACGUAUGAUUUUGAUGCUCUGCAAAUAUCCUAGUAAAUGCUGGCCCCAGAAAGUGGUUCACUCAGUCUGUUACACACUUUGACAGGUUAUAUAGCAGUUAAUAAUUAAGUGAAAGGAAGUUCUGUAUAAAAAAAUCUGCCAUCAUAUACGAAAUAUGUAUGUUCCAACUCUCUAUGUAGAGUCCACUGGUGUGGCUAUAAGUGGUAUCUUUGCUGACCAAUAGCACUGCUGGCAAACUAUCAGGUAAUUGUAAGUAUGUAUUUACCAGAGAAAAAAAGACCGGUUUACGUGCUUCUGUUUGUGAGACACAGUUGUGGCUGUACUGCUCUGCUGUGCUGAGCCCAGAUCCUCUAUCUUGCUGUAGGAUAAGCCUGGUUCUACCUAUAUCUAGGCAGAAAUUUGUUUAAAAGAGUCACAUGAAGAAUCCAUGUUCUUUAGUCAUUUAUAUAGUUUGUCAGAACAAGAUUUAAAUAUUGUCAGUCAUCUUGAAUUAUAACUAGUUUACAGCUUGUGCUCUGAACCCAUCCAUCCUUUUGAUCUUUUUACCUUAAGAAUGCAACUAUGUGGGAAAUAACUUUAAAGUGAAUGAUACACAUCUGACAGACUUUAAGGAAAAAUAAGUAAGAAUUCAGAAACAUUCCAUGUAAAGAAAAAAAAAUGUACCUUUUUAGAAAUGAACUGUUGUGCUCAUUCAUUGCAGAAUUUAAGUAAGAGUAAUGUUUUACCUCCUUCUUAGCAGCAAAGAAGCAACAUCAGAUGAGGGAGACGUAUCUGCACAUUUUUACAUCUCACAAAUAAUCAGCAGGUUAGAGACAAUAAAACAACUUACCUAAAAUAGAAUACUGGAAGGUUUAAGGUGUCUAUGUUGAAACUGUUACUGCGUUCAGUGCCUGCCCAACCAGAGUGUCAUUUAAACAUAACUGUCUUCCAUGUUUGCUCUGAAUCUUUUUGAGAUCACACAGUAUUCUGUUUCUGACCAUUCGCAGAAGGGCUCAGGGUGAAGCGGGCAUGUACCUCUGUCUGACUUAAACAGUCUGGGAAUCCAGAAGAUAAAUGGUAGUGUUAGCUUAUAGCACAGACCUGGAAAGUGCACUCAGACAAACGUAGUAUAUGCCAAUAAAACUGGAAACCUUUCAGAAGGAGACAACUUUUUACAUCUGCUUUGACCUCAGGUAUUUUAAACUCUAAUUUCUGAGGAGGCACACCUUACCCACUGGGUCCCAGGCUAGUCUACAUAGCUGUACAGAUGUGCACUACAACUGCAAAACUCAUUAAGAUUCAAGGAGAUAAAUGAGGAAGGAAACAAUUUUUAUGGAGCAAGCAGGAUUCUGGCCUUUGUCUUUGCCCCACACAGUUUGUAUGUCUAUUUUUCAGUAAAUAGUAGAACUAAGAAUAAUCCUAUGUUCCAUUAUUAACAUCUCAUCUUCAACAGUGGUUAUGUUUUUUUAAAAAAACGGAGCCUUUGAAACAAAAAUUGAAUUACCUUGAUGGUCUGUGGACACUGAGUGGAUGGAAAUAACCACAGUCUUCCACUGUGACAGAGUGCCUCAACUACAUAGGUUGGCAUUAUCUGACUUUCAAAAUUAUGAGUUAGAUUCUAGAUAACUCCAUAAUGUUUCUACUUUGUUAGUCCUCUCACAUAACAUCAUCUGUUCUCUGUAGGUAACAGCUCUCUAAUCUUGGCUUUGGAUUCUACUUUGUGGGCUAGAUGUCUGAAACCAUUGUGAGGGUCUGUGAGCACCUCUACACCUUUCUGGAACAUCCUGUGGGGAACAAGAGUUCUAAUUGAAGCACUUAAGACGUGCUCAGCACUUUUGCUUUAACUACUUUUGUCAUUUGUCUUUCUGGCAUCUCUAGAGUUCAUUGAAAUUUCUCUUGUAAUUCCUGAAAGUUUAAUUUGGACCUCAGUCUCCCCAAGGAAAUAUUGCUAAAGGUCAGAAGUAGGCUUAAAUCAUAAAGUUUCCAGGAGAGGGAAUCUAGGAAUUUCUCUCAGUUCCAUCUUUAACACUGUAGUAGAAGCCAGUGACAACAGGGCUUUGUAUUCCAGAUAUCAGACUGAGAAUGUGGUCUUGGCAUGUUGAAUAAUGUAAUUUGUGUACAUAUAAGCAAAGAAAAUAUUGAUAGUGAAAUAAUUAUGAAUAUAUAAAUGUGAGACAGUAGGAAGCCAUGUUUAAAGGCAUUUUUCAGUUUAUAACCACACUUUUAAGAAUUUCCUGUCUUUUCUUUUAGCCAGACACAUGGGAUUAUUUUAGCGUACUUUUAUUUGUGUGUUGUUUCCUUUACAUUUUUGUUUGAGCAGAAGAGGAUGGGAAUAAAAAUGCAGUCUUCAACAAAGUUUUACAAAGUUUAUGAUUCUAGGCUGUAGUAAUUCCCCUAUGUACACUUAAAACAAUAAUAAAAAUGCAAGCACCAUAUUUUGAAAAGUUAUUAUGACUUAUUAUGUAAACAGAUGAUGAUAAAACAUUCUGAGUUAUUAUUCAAACACAAUACAUCAUAAUUGUUUCUUUGGAGACACUAUAUAUUUCUGUCAUGGGCUUUACUUACAGGAUUCUUUGUAAAACCUUCAUAAAGGUAAUUACUUUGUAUUCCCAUCAUCACAUUUCAAAAAUAGUGAUCUCAGCCUCUGAACAUGUAAACUCUGAAACAAAAGAAGAGUCCUAUUGUCUUCUUGUGUAAACAAAGCUUGUUUACAAGGUUGGGCCUUCCAACACUAAGCCUUACUCUCAAUACACAUGAUUAUACAGGUUUUCUAGAUAUAAAUGUGAACUCACAGAUGGUGGUUUCAGGCCACUUAAUCUUAAUAAGCUAGUUUAUUUGAUGAAAAACUUAGGAGCUGACUUUGUAUUUUUAACAUAUUUAUGGGAAAUGGAGAAUGAGUAUCUGAAGUUGAUAACUUCCCUUUGCAAAUUCUGGUUGAUACACAGGGCUUAACAAAUAUAGGUAGUAUCUUAUUCCACACUGAAUGGAAUAAAAAAUCACUUGUCUUUUGUUAAUAUAAAGUUCAUAAUUAAAUUAUUCUUGAAAUACUGUCAGACAUUUCAGCAAAAGAACAAAAAACAAAAGUUCUAUUUAGUGUGGAUUGGUGUUGUGAUAUACUUAAUAUCUACUUCAACAUUGAAUUAAAAGAUUCAGAAAUCUAUCAUAAUAUGCUUCAAAAAAAGAUCAAAGACAAUGAAUAAAGUUGGCAGAAUAUGUUUGCUUUUACAUGGAAAUUACUGAAAUAAAAGAUUAAAAUAUGUAUUGAUAUUUACUAGCACUAUUUUCCACUGAAGUAAAUGGGUAAACUCUUGGGCUUGAUAUUUCUAAGCCCUUGCUGGUUUGAUACUCCAUGUCUUCUUACUUGCAUUGAUACAAAUAUAGGAAGUACCUAUAGAUUGCAUAAAUGUUGAUCAUAAGUGUUGUUUCAGGAUGAAAUGUAUUGUCUGUUUCUGUGAAGCUAAUGGCUUUUUGGUCACACAGCUUAAAGUGAUGUGAAGAUUGUCAUGUUUGUCAUGAAGAUUGUCAAGUUUGUCAUUACUUCUGAACUCCCAAAAUAAAUUGAAAUAAAUAAAGGUUUUUCUUCUAAAUCAGAGGAUGGUUCUUACUUAUUUAGUAUGAUGAUCUGUAAAAUGUCAUCAAAUGCACUGUAAAGAGAGGGAAUUGAUGGCAAAUCCUUACUAAGAUGUUGCAAAGUAAGUAGGAGGGAAGGAUCCUUGUGUUUAGAAGGACAGUUUUUUAUUUACACGCACACGUAUAUGUUUUGAGGUUACUAAAGAACACCCAGCUAUAUCUUCAACUUCAGUUAGCAGGAGUUUCUAUUACAUUUUAACACAGGAUGGGUGAGAAAAUGUUUCAUUUUAUACGCAUGUGUAUACACACAGACAUUCCAAAAGACACAAACCAUUUCAGAAAUGACAGUUUCCUCGCUGUCCAAUUAGGUGAAUUGAAUGUGAUUAUGUUGUAGUUCUCAGGGCUCUAAUUGCACAUAAAAACUUCCAAAUCACAACACGUGGUAUUUCCAUCCAAAACAAAGGGAGAAUUAUUAAAAUGUGGUGGGAUUUCAUGUAACACUGGCAGACAGCUUAGAUGGCAAUAAUUUAACACUUGCACCAUGAAAUUAAAAUUUACGUUCACUCUGUGCAAUUCUUCAGACCAGCAGCAGACAGUUGUAUUUUUUUUAAUGAGAGCAGGGAGAUUUAAUUACUUGAAUUUAACUAGAAAAACCUUUCCAUUGCUUGAUGACAGAGGCAAUAAUAUUGGCACAGAUUUGCAGAUGCUUUUUGAGCCUGCUUUCCAUAUUCUCCAUAGCUCUGCUUUGCAGCAUCCAUGUUUCUGAAGGCCAUGAACAACCACAUAGAUUCUUCCACAGAUUCGGAGCAAUGCAUGCAAAUUCCAGCUGCCCAUAAAUCAUUGUCUGAAAGGCAAAUGUUAUGGCUGCUAUAAGCAUUUCAAGUAAGUUCCAAAACUUUCAGCAUUGUGUCUUUCUGAACAGAAUUUGUACAAAUUAUACUACUAUGUCUUCUCAAAAAUCCUUCUCUUUUGCAACAAUUCCUUCUGUAAUGCAUUAUUGUCAAUGUAACGAAUGCUAAAGAAUUGAGCUGUAACUCACCAAACACAAACUACAAAAAUACAUUUGUUUUUUAUUGCCAUGAGGUCUGGUAGAAUAGAAUUACCAAGUUUUCUUUUAUACAGAAACAUAUAUUUUCCAGACAGUUUAGAGAAAAUUGAAGCUAGAAUGCUAUCCUAAGGCUACAUGUAAGUCUAAGUUGAGGUUCAUAUAAGUACUUAAGAUAAACAUUUUCUAUACUCAGUUAGACCACGAUAUAAAGAGAGGGAUGAAUGGCAGAUGAGCAUUGCUCUGUGCAAGUUGGUUCAACAGCAAAGGUAAGAACAGCAGAUGUGUACUGGAGAUCAGGAAGACUACUAUUGUGUGAGUACUGUAAUAAGGCUAAAAUCAGAAAAGAUUAUUAUUAUUUUUAAAAAGAUUUCUCAGUGAAUUUGGGCAUUUGUUUCCUUUAAGAAAGAGUAAACUAUAGACACGUCUGAUUUCAUUGUCUCAGCAGUACAGGGACACGGUACUACAGCCCAGGAAUACAUCAUCCCUUUAACAUUUGCAUGAUGCUUCUGAAAAAGUAAUGGAAAUUAUCUGCAUUGUUUUAUGUUUUAUAAUCAACCACUGAUCUCAGUUUAAGGACUAAGCAAACAACUCUCAGGGAUAGGAGAGAACGGAGGAAAAGGAGAUACCCUCCUACAACCCACCUUUUAAUAUUUAUGCUUGAAAUGGAAAAUACAGAUGUUGCAGAAGUACACAUCUGGGACAUUGUUUCCAUAUUUUUGACAGAGAAUAAUUUUCACUGCUUUUCAUCCAAGUGGCUUAAAAUCAAUGUUUUUGUUCAAAAUAAAAUUGCAUGAAUACUUUUGCUGAUCUUGCAAUCUGUACUGUUGUACUUAUUUCUUUUCUCCCCAGAAGCUUUGUAGGAUUCUUGUCUGGUUUAUAGGGUUUAGGCUGUUUUCUCCUUUCACCACUGUUCCAGUGCUCCAUUUGCAAAGUGUUUAGAUUACAGCAGACGCGAACUUCCUCUGUCUCAGAGCCAGCAAUGAAUCAGGCUGAGAGCUGGGACCACUGGCUGUCAGAGGACCCUGAAAAGCUGCAGCUUUAAAAUAACAAGUAUUUGACAGCUCAGUUUACAAAGCUGCAGAUUGUAGUUAUAUUGUGCUAUGGGGCUACAUAUGACAUAAUAACUGGGGACUUAAAGUUAUUUAGUCUCUUUCCUCUCACCGUAAUUUCCAGUAAAUAAAUCUCUCUGGGACAGGAGGUCUGUUGAGUUGUACAAUGCUUGCAUUUUCUUCACCACAGCUUGUCCUCUCUCUUUCCUAUUUUAUACGUUAAAAAACCUCAGUGUCUGGUAAUCGCAUUUCUAUAACACUUCCUGUUGAAAGAGACAGACUAAUAUAAAUACAUACAGUGUGUAUUUUUAAAUUUUUAUUAGUCAAGGUAUUCAUUGCAAGUCUUCCUAUCAAAAUCUCUUCAGAAAAUCCUUUAUGGACAGAGCUUAAUGCUGUGUAGUUGGAGUGGAACAUGGGCAAACUUUUAAAAUGCUUUAAAUGGUGCUUUAGAAAAAGAGCUGCGCUCACAAGAUUAUUGUGAGUUGUAUUUUACAAAAUUAGCCGACAGAGGUUCCAUCAAUAUAGAUUCACCUGAACUGAAAAAAACAGAACUGAAUAAAACGUGGCAACUGGAAUGCUUGUUUUUCUCCAAAAAUAAGAUAUUGUAGAAUGAAGGAAACAGUGUCUUUACAUUAACACAUUUGCUCUAAGAGAACUAGCUAUUUUUGCUGCAGUCCCUUUCCAGUAACAAAAUGGUAAGAAGUGCCAAUGUUUUCCUGAUUUAAUUUUCCUUUUACUAAUAUUUAGGCUUUCAAAGAAGCCCAAGGGAUAUGGUUGCUCAGUUUACACUAGACAUUCAAAUCUCCUUGCUUUUGAAAUCCCAUGUCUAAUUUCAACUUUUUUUAAUUAUUAUUUUUUUUUAAAGGUCUUAAUUCUUCAGAGUCUCUUUACACUAUUUUUGUUGUAACUCUAAAAAAGGUUUAUUAAGGUUUGGGGAUGUAUUUUACAGGUAAGAUUGCAGAAGACUUAAAAAUCUUUAUCCUUGCAGGUUUUUUUGUGUUUUUUUUUUCUUCUUUGGAAUAUAGGACACUAGAUACAAUGGACUACAACAGUCAAUAAAUGUUGUAUAAAUGUUGUAUUGUAUAGUACAUGCAUGGAUUCCUUGUAACAUCAGCUUUCUUCAGUUGAGUUCAUCAUCUUAGGCUCCAUCUGAAGUCUCUGCAGACUUGAUUAGGGUAUGGUUUCUCUGGCCUAUUUUAAGUGUUUACUUUAGAAUGAUAUGAAUCACAAUCUGAACUACUGAGUAGAUUUCCACUGUCUGUCAAGAGAACCCAGUGUUGACAUCUACAUCAAAUCAGAUUAUUUCUACUCUUAAAGCUGAACUAUUCUUAAAGUCUAGGAGAAUCUCUAGCCUUGAGUUGAGCAGUUCUGGUUCUCAUUGCCACCAACGUCAAAAUGAACACUGUCUCGAUGUAUUGAUGCUUUUCAGAAGAAUCACAGUGAAACAUAACAUUUAGGCACCAUUCCUAACAUUUCUGGAGCUGAUAUCAGGUAGGAAAAUGUGACUACAGAUACUGAAGGUUAUGAAUAAAAUAGAUGGGUUUGUUCACUGUCUACAAAGGAUAGUGGUACAGAUAGAUCUUUCAGAUUUAGUAAAUGUGGAAGGUAAUGAUUAUGUGAAGACAGACAGUUUAGUUGACUUGGGUUUCUGAAUCCAAUAAGUGACUAAAAACUAAAAAUGUGACUAAAUGUAAGUAUUUGAACUUGGGUGUAAUCUGCCUAUACUUGAGAUUCAUUACCUGUAUCAUAAGCAGAUAAAUAACAUUUACCUUUAUUUUUGAAGUCCAAUAAUAGCUGUUAUACUCUGAAAUGGUAGUACUAGAUUAUAAUUGACUAAUCUGUAUUGAAUAAAGUAAAAAAAACACUGAAGGCAAAAGGAAAGAAAUUAGUUUCUAACAGUUCUUUUUUUAUUGUGUGUCUUAUUUAGAAUCAGAUUAUUUUCAGAAUACUGAAACAUGUCUUUCUCUGUCUGUCCAAAACAUGUAUUAGUUUUUGCAUAUUUUUUUAUAGUGAAAUAUUGCUUUGUUUUGCUAGCUUUACAUUUGGGAAUGUGGUUUUAAAAAUAAUUCUUCGUAUUCAUUUGGAGAGAAAUAAUCUAUAAAUAUACCUAUGCACUCACAGGGUUUAGCACUUGACAGUUUUAUUAAAAACAACAAGUACACACAGUCUUAGCAUUGUUUCUAAAAUGUUGCUAAUCCUUGGCUGUGAAAUAUCAGAAAAGUGAAAUGAGACAUCGGGGUUUCAGUUUGCCAAAUGUGAGAGGUUAUUAAAACAAUUUUUUCCCGUACAACAUAUUUAUGAAAAAAUGUACACAAAGAAUAAAAAGUCAGAAAAAAAUGGCACAUUUAGCAAUAACUGCAAAAGAAAUUCAUUUCUUAUGAACUUGCAAGGUUGUUCUAUUUCCUGUUUUUUUUCCCAACCACUAUUACAAGAAAAGGAUUGUUACUUCUCACAAAAUUAUUUUGCAGAUCUUUCAUACUAAAAGAUUUAACUUGAAAAUGAACAGCAAUACAGUAAUUGGAAUUUAUUUAGUUAGGUUUUUCUUGCCUAAAUCAGUUCAUCUAAAAAUAGGGCUUCUAGAUCAAACUAGUCAACUGGCUUUUCUCUCAAUCAGUGUGAGAGACAGACGCCGCAAGAACAGCACAUCUUCUUGGUCCUUGAUACUUCCACAGAGAUGUAAUCACAAGUAUUCUGAGUCACACAGUUUGGUUCAGAAAACCCAACCAUUCACUGACAAGUGGUGGAAGUAACAAUAAUUCCUGGAAAACUAAAACCCCUCUAAAUAGUAACUCUAUUGAAUUUUCAACUAAGAGAUUAAGUACUGAUCCUAACAGUCACUGGAUGCUUUCCCUCCUCCUCAGAAGCUCACUUGUCAGUGAUUUAACUUUCCACAGUGGCUAUCUUUAUGAACUGAAUCUAAAUGGCCCUUCUGAUGUUUUAUUUUUUUCCAGGAAUUAGUUUGAUCUAUGCCUACUGUCAUUAUGUCUACUGCUUUUAAUUUAUAAAAAGAAGCAAACAAUCCUGAAGACCAUGUUUUAAGAAAAGGCGAGCCAUCCUUCAUCUGUUUCUUUUGUUAGUGAGAAUAAAUUACUGUUAAAGUAUUUUUUUUAAAUGAAGUAUAAUAGUAUAACAUACUUUCCUAUUAUGUGGUUCAUAGGAGCAGCUGCACUUGAAAAGACAAAAAACAAAAGAUUUUGGGAAAAGUAAAAUCAGGAGAAAAUAAUGCAGAUAUAAAAAAUUUGUUAACUUUUUCUUCCAUAAAACAGCUUUGAAAGCAUAGAAAGAGAUGGGUUAGAUUUCUGCUGAAUUCAUUAACCUUGAGAAUAUCCAUAGAAGUCGUAGGAUAGGUUACCCAGGACACUGAACUGGGACUCAAAUUUUUCCCAGGAUAAAGCUUUUUCCAGCAUUUAUAGCAUGAUGUCAAUGCAAAGCUUUUCCCAAACUUCCUGGAACAGUUACAGGCAAAUCACUGGAGACACAAAAAAUAUCUGGGGCCUCAGCCAGCAACAUUCCUCUAUGAGUACUGGUAUCUCAAUUUGCUCUUUAUUUUCUUAAUUGGCAUUAUGCAAUUUUGAAGAUUUACAGCCAGCUAGACUAUGAAAAAUGGAAUAGAAAAGCCAGAGCUGAAAGUGACAGCAAUCAUUUUACCACAUAGUAGACAUAGUUUUUUUUCUACAAACUCAACUAGUUUACAACAAAAUCUCCCCUUUAAUCUUCUGUGAUGUUGCAAAAGUCAUCAGCCUCCCAGAUUAUAUCUUAUCUGUGGCUCGUAUAAUGAAUGUUUUAAUCCACUGGAGCAACAGAAUAAACCAUAAUUAUAUGUAUUUUAGGCUGAGGGUAUGUUUCCUUAAAAAUGUAUCCUAUUUUUGCAUUAAAAUCUCAGCUUCUUAAAACAAACAAUCCAUAGACUCUAUGAUCAUUACUCUACAUUUUAUGUAUGUUGUCAAACCUUCCAAUAGCAUUUUAAAGUACCUCAAAGUACUGCUGUUGUGAAACUUGUAGAUAAUCUAUGUAAUCAUGGACAUCUGACUCCUAAAAGGAAGGUUAUAAAAGGCACAGAGGGCAGUUAAGCAUGUAAUUGCCUUGAGAAAUAAUGGGAAUUGGGCAUCUAACUCUCCUCUGUACCUCAAAAAAUGUCCCCUACACAGAGUGGAGAGUCUGUGGUCAUGGAGAAUUCACCAAGAGAAUGGAAUAACCUUCUUUGGAGAACUUUGACCUUGAAAACAUCAGCAUCUUCUCAGCAAGUAUCACAAAAACAAGGAGGAAGAAGGUGUUCAGAUUUAGCCUCCUGUGAGCAAUUCCUUGACUACUUUCCUGCACUUUCUGUCCUUGAUAUUAUCAGUCAUAAGCAGUGGUCUCUAAAAGUGCAGUCUGGGAAAUUUCCUUCAACAUUAAAAUAUUAGUCAUUCCGGGUGUAGUCAGUCCCACACUUCUGCUGAUAAUUUAUUUCAGUUUUGUUUCAGAAUAUAAUGUUUCCAACAGCUACGUCUAUGGCGAGACCUGGGUCUGAUCCCUUAGCUGUCUUCCCUCAGCUUGUUUGUUGGCUGCACUGGAGAGUGACUGUACAGUUGGCUCUAGUGUGGCUGCUGUCAGACUGUCUCUUGAAAGGAGCAGAGCUUCAAUCCUAUCCCUUGGAAAACUUCAGCUAAUAGUGUAUUAGCAACAACGUGUUCUUUCAUUUUUCAUGAAAAAAUGUUCAGGUUUAGCUUAUCUCUGGAUCACUGCAGAGGAUGCCUUGAAAGCCUGAAGAUUUUUCUAACUAAACUGAAAAGCUGAAAUCCAUAGUAUAAAUUUCAGGACUGUGCUACCAUUUACGAAUGUGUCCUUUCUUUCAUCUCAAAAUUGCAAUCUUUGCAUAGACAGUAGCAUCAUCUUGAAGAAAGAUACCGCACAUAAGUAUUCAUAACAUUGUUUUUUCUUGUGUGCUACAAAACUGUCAUAUACUCGGAGACAAGGAAUAAUAAUCCACCGUAUGAGAUAGUCUGUGCGCACAAAACAAAAAACGAAACAAACAAAAAAAAAACCCAACCAACUAAAAAAAAGGAAGGCCUUGAUAAACUCAACAAAGCUUACUAAAAUCAUAAAUAAAGAAAAUGUCUUGUAGGGACAACUUCUGCCCUCAUUUAGAAACAGUGAAUUCAUUGUGAUUGGUUACCAAAUUUGGCCUUAGAAACAGACCAUGUAUUUUGUCUGUAUAUGUCUGGCUUAUGUAUUUUAACUGUGUUUACUUGACCAUAAAGGCAGAGAAGUCUCCCUCUUGAACUCAGUGGAAGUGUUGGCUCUGACCUCUUACAGAAAAGAAAGAGACCAAAAAUGGUGAUUGUUUUCUUUCUUGAAUUGUUAUUAUUUCUAACUUGAAUUGUGAUUCUUAACUACCCUAAGUUGGCCUACAUACACUUUUUUUUUUUUUUUUUUUUUUUUUUGGGAAGGAGAAAGCUUGCAAGGUCCACAAAUUAAUUAGACUACUAUGAAUGUUGAUGGAAAUGUAAAUCUAGAGAAGUCAAUACACUCUGCAACUUAGUCUCUCCUUUUUUUUUCAUCUACAAACCUUUCACAACAGAAAAUUGGGAUUUGAAAUAAAACAACAUGCAAGUGACAGGAAAAAUAACCCAACAAAACAUCUGUGGCAAAAAGCAGAAAUAUAGGUAAAAACAAAAGAGAACAUAUAAGCAAGGUGCUACGAGUGAAAAUGAGAGAAGGAGCUGGAAUAUAUGAUGAAAUAUCCAGCCAUUGCUUUUAAAACCAAGCAUUUUUCAUUCUUUCCAAAUCUGCAUACUUAAUGAAGGGAAUUCUCUAGACAGAGGACAAACUAUGAAGAUUGUUAAUGAAAAAAUUAGGGACAGUUGGGAGCUAAACCUGCUGUAUUAUUGCUUCACUGCUCUCAGCCUGCAGCAGUUGGAUUCAAACAAUUCUCUGCACCAAAACAGCUAACAGUUGAAGGGAUGCUCUUCCCUCUUUCUCUCCUGUUGUCAACAGAAAAGUCAGUUGUAAAUUUAUCAAAUGUGGGUGAGAGAGAAAGAAAAGUUUUCAUGAUUUCUAGGCUGACUUAUGGAUGACUAAACUGGGUGUCUUUUUUGUUUUUAGCAGAAAAACAUAGUGGCUGAUAAAUAGUAUCUUAGAGUUAGGACUUUUGCUUUGAGUGCCUCCUCCAGUGCAAAGCUUCGCAAAAACGCCAGUGUGUGAAGCAGCACAUUAGUAAUUUUGUAAAAGGGUAAAGUUCUGUGGAAAAUGAGAUAGAGAAUGAACUGAACAUUGCUGAUUUCAAACGAGUAUAUGAUGUGGCAGUGUCUCUGAAGACUGGGAGAAAUGUAAUCUGACAGUUCCUACAUCUUAGUAAUGGCAAGUAUCCCGUCACAGAAUGCAGAGGAGAGAAAAAAAAUGUUAUUGUGCUUUAACUUGCCACUUGUGAUGACACGAACAUCACACAUUCUGACAUCUGCUAGAUGUGUCUAGAUCCAUGAGUGAGUAAUUCAUUAAAAAAAAAAAUAAAAAGCUCAAUUUUUUUUUCUUUUUUCUUUCAAUGACUCAUCCACAUGCUUAACAGAAUGUUCUGGAUGAGCAUUUACUUUUUCCUUUUUUUUUCCAAUGAUCACAAGCAUUAUUAUUAAAAUUACAGUUACUAGGAGAAUAUUAGUAAUUAUACAGACACAUCUUCUGUGAAUAUUCUAUGAAAUUCAAAUACAAUAUAAAUUUGGGCUUCUUACCAUUGUUGAAUGUCCACUUGUUCUGAAGUCAGAAAGUAAACAUGGUAAGAUCUAGUCUAUCCCUAUGUACAACAUCUCACGUAAGCUUUUUUCCCACAGAUGUUUCACUAAGAUGAUGAUGUUUCCUCUGUGGUUGUAGCAUAUGUUUUAGAAAGACAUGAUGCCUUGAUGACAAGAAAAGUAGAAGAGCAAAACAAUUACAAGCACUAUCUUACCUUGGAGGGGCUUCUCUCCAGGUUUACAUUCUUGUGUUCAUAAGGCCAGAGACACCUCCUGUCUGGAAAGUUCAGGCUACAAAGCGGCUUGAGUGGCAAGAGGGUUGUUUGGGAACAAACCUCCCAAUGACAUUUGUGAUCUCAGUUAGCAUUUAAAUUAAGAAGCACACAGGACUAAAGCCAAUGUAUAAACCCACAAGACAAAGAGGCCUGCACUUAAAUCACUUUAUAAGUGAGUAAUGCUCUCUAGUGAGUAAAGCUCCAGAGAAAGAACAGACAACAGACAUUGGCCGAGCAGAGGGCUUUGCAGGGUAUACUUUCCCUUUAGGACAUUCAGUACAUCUUGCACUUUUAUCUUUAUCAUCUACAAGUUUCCUCUUUCCAUUUCUUGGUAGCACAGAACAUUUCGUAUCCGUCCCCAAGAGAGCUCCUUUCCUUGUUAUUACUUCAACUUACAAAUAUGAAAUGAAUGUUGCCCAAAUACUUUCAUGUGCUGAGUUACAUUGAACUUCCAGUGAAUCUUGGUAUGUGUGGGAGGAGAUAAUUCCAUUGUUUGCAGGAGAAAGUAUUUUGGUAGCAUUGAGGAGUCAGAGUUGAUUCUUCAGCAUAAUUUAAACUGGUGUCAGCUGCAGGUCAAGACACAUAUACGAUUUUCUUAAAUCAUACUAAUUCUACAUUGCUAUUUUAUCCCUUGUGCUGUGACCACAAAUUCGGAGUAGGUUUUAGACAUUGCUAACGCUGGCAUACCUAUGCCUUCCUUAUACUGUGAUGUUUUAUUGUCCCCUGAUUUAGGCCUGCAUUCAAAUUGUUAUCUACUGUCAACUGUUCUCCUUUGCAUAAAUAUCAAAAGAUUGUGGCAAAUUUCUUUGUAGGAUCAUACCUAUCCUCAAAACAAAAUAAAAAAGUAUGUGGAACUAUUUCUUUGACUGAGGAUCUCUGAAUUAAUCUCUUACUCACUAUCUUCUCUGUCCAUUGUUUGCACUGAUUGUCCUGCAUGUAUGCAUUUUUGGAAGGUAAACAGAUUUUUGUCAAAAUAACUUAUCAACCCUUAUUCUAAGACUGGAUGUUCUGAAUAGAGUUCUGAACUUAUCUAAGCCAUAUCACAUAAGAAUAUGUGCCAUAAAAUACUUUAGCACCUAAAUCAUGCCUUCUGUUCAAUAGUUUUGUUGCAUGAAAUAUUAUGGGAUCCAGUUGUUCACAAUGUUGCUGCAAGAAUCUUUGUGGUUCAACCAAGCAUAAAGAACACAGGCACUUUGUGAUGAACUACAGUGAACAAACUUCUAAUCAGAAAUUUUGUGCUGCCAGUCCCAUAAAGCACUAAGCAUAUGAUAAAUAUAAUGGAACAAGCAAAGAACCGAGAAUUGCUGCAAUUUUCAAGCCUGCUGCCUGUGUGCCUGUACUUUGGAAAAUAUUGUUUCAUUUUUUAAUUUUUAGGUAAAUACUGAUAGAAAUAUCUGAAUUUGUACUUUGUCUCCUUCAGCCUGACUUGCACUACCAUACUCUUUUGCACACAAAACUCAACAUUUUCUGAGGGUAUUUGCAACCUCAGGCUUACACUACAGACAAACUUUAACCUUUAUUUUAGCUGAAAACGGUGUCUAAAUUCAUGGCUCCUUACAUUUCUGCAGUAUGUUUCACAGGUUUAAAUUAUGCACAUAGGAAGUAAUAAGUGUUUUUCACCCACCUUUUCCACUGAGAGGAUAAACUCAGACACUGACUGUGUUGACAGUAUUUCCUUCCUGGGGAAAUCUGUAUGUGAGCAUAUUAUUACUCAAAUGUCUAUCUUAACACUUACCCUGUUUCAUCUUUGUAUCGGUCUACAAGUAUUAUAACUUAUCCUAUUGCCUUGACAGUCUAAGAUGAUGAUAGUCCUGUCUUGAAUCUAUCUCAAGACCCACUGGCAGUUAGAAAUAUAUUUGUAUUCAGACAAGUUAGUAAUGAGCAGCGUGGAGAUUACUCAAAGUGACCAAAUUCCUCAGCACAGUAGAUAUAAGAACAGGUAAUUGGGGAAACCAGCUCAUUAUUAUGUACAAGCAGCAUAUCUGCUUCAGAUUACCUGCAAGAUGAUGAUUUAUACAAUAGGAAAGUAUUUACCUGAAAACAAUGAUCUCAUCAAGUAAUAGUCCUCCGUUGAUUCAAGGAAAAUUCUGUUGCAAUUGUGUCCUGCAGAAGUGGUAAGGGAGACAGUCCAGAAAAAUUCAGAUCCAGGAGUGAAGAUCACCACCAAAAAGAACCCUCUAGGUAUUCCUUCAGACAUGACUAUCUGCAGUAUUGCUUCAUAGUUUUCAAGUUUUACCUUAUUUACAUUACCAUUUGCAAUGGAUUUUUUUUUCUUUUUUAGCAUUACUUUUUGCUCAAACUCCUCCUUCAUGACCCCUUUUCUCUCCUACAUGUUACUUGAUUUUAUAUGGCUCUUACACAGCUGUAACAAAAGAGAGUUGAUAUUUAAAUACUUUUGGAAAGCAUGUCAUUUUCCUAUCCAUCUGCUACUUCCCAGUGGGCCUGCUAAGCUGCCUUCCUGACUUACAGAGGCUAGUGUUAGACCUCUGGAAGAAUCAGCUUCCAAC